rnacentral:lncRNA from 1 species
GGGAGGGGUGCGGGACGGCGGGGGCGGCGCAGUCAGAAGCAGUCCACGAAGCACUUGAAAGUGAGCCUGAAGAAUCUCAUGUGUGUCGGGGGCCCGGGAGCGCGCGGGCGGCGGUGGAGCCUGGCCGGGCGGCGGCGGCUCCCGAGACUCCUGCCCGCGGCUCGGGCGGCGGUGGCGGCUGCAGCGAGGACUGCUCGCCCUGCCGGAGGCUCACCCUAGCGCGUCGCGGGUGGCAUCGGAAGCCCACUGUCUGCAAGCGGCGGCCGGAGCAAGGGGCCUGAGGCCCGCGGCCCCGGCCCAGCCCCAAGUGGCUGUCCUGUUCGCUUGCGGCUCUCCUGGCGCUGGCGGCUCCGGUGGUCCCGGGACCUAGGGAGAGUUGGAUAUCCAGGUGCAAAGUUUCUUGGUCCCUGCACCAAAGUAAGUGCCCUGUGCGAUUGCCUUCUGAAGGACUGUCCCUGCGCUGGCCUGGAGUGUGUGUGUGUGUGUGGGGGGGGGGGGGGAAUCGUCCUCCAAGAGUUCUGUGGAACUUUGCCAGAAGUACUGAGCUGUCUCAAGACAUUUAGGCCUCCUCAAAGAUACAGCCUGGAGGCUGAGGAUCAUGGUAUCAGCUUUGUGUGUGAUCAAUUUCUGUUUGUCUCCAGAGUGGGCAAAGGGUAGCUUGCUUGGUCGAAGAUCAGAGUUACAAUUUGUCACCAAGGUACAGAAGGGGACUCCAUGAUAACUCACCUUUUGUCCACCUUUUGCCUGAUGUGGGGGUGGGUAGGGCUUGUGAUCUAUAGAUACUGGGGUAAGAAUAGGGUGAGGCUGCCCCCUGGUGCCUGGUAGAUGUACAGACCCUCCCUCUAAGCUCAGUAACCUGCCUGCUCAGGGACUUCUAGGCCUCUUCAUCAGCAGAGCAGCUUCUUGGGAAUUUUCCAAGGCCAACACUAGCCUGGGGUGGACUAGAAAGGUGAGGCGUGCCCAUUUCAAUCCCAAAUUCCUUGAUCUGAUCAGACACCAAAGUCCCCAGAUGGCUCAUCCCAUCAAGCUAAGCCCGCAGCCAUCCGGCAGCUUUAGAAAGAAAAGCAGUUCCAGCCAGAGCCAGAUUGAGCCUGAUAGGUGAGGGAAGGAGGGGCAGCAUCUCCACCCAGGCUAUCAGGAAGAUCUCUCUCUCUCUCUCUCUCUCUCUCUCUCUCUCUCUCUCUCUCUCUCGUGUGUGUGUGUGUGUGUGUGUAUGUGUGUGUGUGUGUGUGUGUGUGUAUUUGCUUGCUCAUCACAAAACCCUAACUUGAGCCAUGUUUGUUCCAGCAUGGAACCAAAGUCCUCCUGGAGAAACAAAGGCCAUAGAAGAGUUACUCAUAGUUACUCAUAGCACAUAUAUCCUGGAAGAUCUGGAGCCAUCCAAGGAACAAGGAGAGGGGUCAUUUAAGAGAAGAAAAAAGAGGAUCCCAAGGAAUGAGCACAAAGGACUCCAUUGCAGUAUAAAGAUCUGCAAAGGAAAAGGAGCUGCUACAACAGUUAUCUGGAUGAGGUUGGGCAGAGUCCAGUCAAUAGCAGGAAAAUCAGGCUGUAGAAGUGGGAACUGGAUAUGGGUUCUAUUGGGAAUUUAAGAUCCUGCUUGUCAGUGCCAGGAGUGGUGGCGCACGCAUUUAAGCCCAGCACUCGGGAGGCAGAGGCAGGCAGAUUUCUGAGUUUGAGGCCAGCCUGGUCUACAGAGUGAGUUCCAGGACAGCCAAG